GCAACUCGGCUGCAUGAAGCUGGAAUCGCUAGUAAUCGCGGAUCAGAAUGCCGCGGUGAAUGCGUUCCCGGGUCUUGUACACACCGCCCGUCACACCAUGGGAGCCGGGAAUGCCCGAAGUCAGCGGCCUAACCGCAAGGGGGGAGCUGCCGAAGGCAGGCCUGGUAACUGGGGUGAAGUCGUAACAAGGUACC
rnacentral:rRNA from 1 species